rnacentral:rRNA from 1 species
UCGUACGGGCAGUGAAAACUACGAGACUAGAGUUUGGUAGGGGUCACGGGAAUUUCCAGUGUAGCGGUGAAAUGCGUAGAGAUUGGGAAGAACACCAGCGGCGAAAGCGCGUGACUGGGCCUGAACUGACAC